rnacentral:rRNA from 1 species
UACGUAGGCAGCAAGCGUUGUUCGGAAUUACUGGGCGUAAAGCGUGCGCAGGCGGUUCGUUAAGUUCGUCGUGAAAGCCCCGGGCUCAACCUGGGAAUGGCGAUGGAAACUGGCGGGCUGGAGUGUGGCAGAGGGGGGUGGAAUUCCGCGUGUAGCAGUGAAAUGCGUAGAGAUGCGGAGGAACACCGAUGGCGAAGGCAGCCCCCUGGGCCAACACUGACGCUCAGGCACGAAAGCGUGGGGAGCAAACAGG